rnacentral:rRNA from 1 species
GAUGAACGCUGGCGGCGUGCCUAAUACAUGCAAGUCGAGCGAACAGACGAGGAGCUUGCUCCUCUGACGUUAGCGGCGGACGGGUGAGUAACACGUGGAUAACCUACCUAUAAGACUGGGAUAACUUCGGGAAACCGGAGCUAAUACCGGAUAAUAUAUUGAACCGCAUGGUUCAAUAGUGAAAGACGGUUUUGCUGUCACUUAUAGAUGGAUCCGCGCCGCAUUAGCUAGUUGGUAAGGUAACGGCUUACCAAGGCAACGAUGCGUAGCCGACCUGAGAGGGUGAUCGGCCACACUGGAACUGAGACACGGUCCAGACUCCCACGGGAGGCAGUAGUAGGGAAUCUUCCGCAAUGGGCGAAAGCCUGACGGAGCAACGCCGCGUGAGUGAUGAAGGUCUUCGGAUCGUAAAACUCUGUUAUUAGGGAAGAACAAAUGUGUAAGUAACUAUGCACGUCUUGACGGUACCUAAUCAGAAAGCCACGGCUAACUACGUG